UAAAGUCUCGCGUGUGUUGCAGAGCGAUUCACCUCCAGAACAACAGGUGGAGUCACGUGUUUUGUUGAAGACGACCUGGAGAGUCACGUCUUUGUGUGUGGAAGUCGCUGGUUGCUUUAUUUAUUUAUCACAGACUUUAUUGCCCCGUCGCUUUCAACGCAAGCCUAGAAAAAUGGGUCGACGCUCGCAAGGAGACGGAUGGACCACCAGGAGGCGACGUGAUCUACAUCUACUCCAGAGUCCUGCAGGGAUCAGAAACCUGAUAAGGAACCAAAUAAGCCACGGAGGACAGCUACGCGCUCCCCAAAGAGAAGUCCACCAACGGCGCGCUGCCUCUGAUCGACUGCUUCCUGUUCCUGGACGGCUGCAUCACCACCUAGGCCACGCCCCCGGGUCACAUGUCCACCUUGAGUCACUUCCUCCCCAUGUCCAUACAAGGACACACUAUGGACACACCCACCUGUCUCCACGGUGACUCCACGGUCUGUCUGUCUCUAGGAGCUCACUGACCUCGUCCCCAUGGACCUGGUGAGAAUGUCCACCUGCUGCUGACCGACGGCGAGAUGGUCCCAGUGAGGCUGGGAGGUGUCUGGAGAGGAACCCUGGUACGGGAAUUACACCUGCAUUAUGACACAAUUUGACUUAUUAUAACUGUAUUAUUUUAUGAGCUAAAGUUUAUUUAUUUCACGUAUUAAAUGUGUUCUAUUAAAGCUGGUUGUUUGCACCAUGUUCUCCAGGAUGUGGUGGAGGUUCUUGCCGGCGGUUGCUCGUCGUCCUCCGUCCUGACGGAGAAGCUGUUCACUAAAACACGGUCUGAUUCUUCUGAUUGUUUGUCUUAAUGUGUUUUUUAAAGUCCCCUUUAGAAGUUAUUGCGUAAUGAACUGGAGGAGCUGCUAUGAAUCAUGUGGAGUGUGAGUAAGUUAAAAUGCUGCCAUAGAAACCGAUCUAAACUGUGAGACAAGCUGCAGCCUGCAGAGACAAAGACACUUUAGAGACUGAGACAAGCUGCAGCCUGCACAGAGACAGACAGGCUAAUGGAGCUCCUGGGUAACUUCAGAUUAAUAACUGAAGACAUUUAAAAUCUACUUCUGUGUAUUUAUGACUCAGAUUUAAUUACGUCAUAGACCUGGCAACCAAGUUCGGAGGGACGUCGCCACUCAUCAUCAACUACAACACAAUCACACUGAACUGCUGUCAUGUCAAUAAAGUUAGUUUGAAUCUGCAGACAGAAGCCACAGAACUAGACUCCUCCUCCCUACUUCAUACCUGAGACAAGGUGAGACAGGGAGGUGGGGGAGGGACGGAGAGAGAGGAGAGGGGGAGGAGGGACGGCAGCUAAGGGAGAGUUGAGUAGGAGGAGGAGAGCAGCAGAAACCGGCUACAACGGACCCACCUGGACCCACCUGGACCCACCUGGACUCAUCUGGACCCACCUGGACUCACCUGGAAUCUGCCAGCCAGGUGAGCUCGGCAGAAUUCUCCCACACAAACAGUUUAACUGUGACUGUGUUCCACACAGCUGACUGUAGACUGAAGGUCCUCUGCAGAAGAUUCAACGUAGAUCCUUGUUGAGCUGUGAGGAACCCUCUAAGAAAGACUUACAGUUUCCGGAUUGUCGUGACCAUUAUUCUGUUAGAACCCGGCAGGUCGUCUAUUCGUGCUUUUCUGGGUACCCAAAGACGCCUUUUUAUUUCAUAUCUCUGUAGUUUCUCGUGUUUAGCGACAUGUGAAGCAACGUCAACCUGCAGAACGCUGUCUUCUGCAUCCGAUUCACUGCUUCCACAGUCGGCUCUCUGUUAUUGAGCUGAUUACUCAACGCUUCGGUAAAAACAAACAACAUUUAAACCUGGAAACCUCCAGUCAGCUGCACUAACUAGUAGUAUUUAUUAUGUAAGAGGAUUGGCUGUUAAUCAAAAGAUGGCAGUAACUUAUGAGGAAAGGAAACAUCUCACUGACUCCAACGCUAUCUAAGAGAUCUAGCUAGCAAGCCUUCGUAGCUAGUUAAAUAGCUAAGCAGAGCUAGCUAGCAUUAGCUAACUAAAUCAUUUCAAAAUAAUGAAUUAGAGAGUUAUCACUCCCCGUAGGCGGUGGAAUGAUGCUCGGUCACCUGGUGGCGAAAGGACGCCUAUUUCUUAACGUUUUCGUUUGAAGUCAGCAGAAGAACUUCAGAACGUCAAAAACAUUCUAUGGCAAAUGGACCAGGUCAUAAAGGCAAAUAAAUUGGCAUCAUUGGUAGAGGAAAUGAUGUCCCGUGAUAACUCGGGGAAAUGAUCUUUCUUGGGGGCCUUUCCGACGCUGCCGUUACCGUUUUCUCCGCUAGAUCUUUUCUGCUUGGAGAGCAGCCCGCCCCCCUGCUCUCAUUGGUUAAAACGCCUGAUUGGUUUGGUGAAUCAAUGGCGUCGAUAAACUUUAGAGAAUUUUAGUCUGUUCAGCAGGUUGACUUCAACAGCUGACCAGCUGAUGUAGACACACACACACGCAAAGUCAUACACAGGCACACAGACAGAAAACACACACACACACACACACACACACNNNNNNNNNNNNNNNNNNNNNNNNNNNNNNNNNNNNNNNNNNNNNNNNNNNNNNNNNNNNNNNNNNNNNNNNNNNNNNNNNNNNNNNNNNNNNNNNNNNNCACACACACACACACAGACACACACACAGACAGACAUGGACUGAAUGACACACACAAAGACAGACACAGGCGCACAAUCAUAGACACACACAUGUGUGAACUAGAAAUCAUUUUUCAUCAUCAUUGUGAGUCUUUUGAGCAGCGAUGUCGUUCAAAGGGAAUGUGCUGAAGCUGUGGUUUCCAUGACGACGCUGUCAGUCAGCAGCAGAGCAGGUGCACACUCACAUGCACCUUCAUGCACUAACGUGCACUAAAGAAUGCUUACAUGAACUAACAUAACAUGUUAACAUGCAGGUGCGCAUGCACUCUCAUGAUCAAAUAGGUCUUUUGAUAGAUGACAGUUAUUGAUCAGAUAUUAAUGAGGUCUUUGAAGGUGUGAUGUCGCAGAGUGCUGAGGUUCAGCCUCACUGAGAGCUGUCUGGUCAUGUUGUGUGUUAGAUCACUCAGGUAUGUCAGUCACACCCUGAUUACACACACACACACACACACACACACACACACAGUAGUAUAGUGUAGCAUACGGAUACGGUAGUCUACAUCCUCCACCACUCCUUAACAAACAGGGGGCGCUUCUGCAAAAACAGUUAUAAAAAACAUGAUUGAUAGAUUUACAUAGUUUACUUUUAAUUGUAAGUAAAUGGUGAACAAACCGUUAUUGUAAGAAUUUUAAUAGUUAUUAUUAACAUUCUCCUGAAAAGAACUGACGAGCACCUGAAUGUAUAUAAAUAUAUAUUUAUUUAGUGGUGAAAGGUGACAUUUAUUUGUCUUUAUAUUGGCAUAUAAACAUUGAGACUAUAAUUACUUAAUAUUGUUAGUGAUUGACAGUUGUAAGAAUUAAACAGGACAUAAAUAAAAAGCUAAUAUUUUUGUUUCACGUUUAUGUAAAUGAAGUAGAAGACUGCAGACCUUAAAGCUAAUAAAUUUACAACUGAUUCUAAUUUUUACGUUUGAUUUAUUUCUGUAUUUUUUUAAUUGUUUCAAUAUAAAGUAUUUUAUUUAUUCCUUUCUGUAUUUCCUAAUUUGUUUAUUUAUUUGCAUAUGCAUUUAUUGAUUACAAAUAUGUAUUUCAGUAUUUAAUACGGUAUUAUUUGAAUAUUAAUUUAUUUUCAUAUUUAUAUAUCCAUUUGACAAUUUACUUAUGCAUUUCCUUUGUGCCUCCCCACUGCGUUCUAAUGAACAGUCAAAACGGCGGCGUGAGUGAGCUGCUUCCGGUUCCCCUGCCGGGUCUUACUGUCGCUGCGAACGACGAUGUUCCAGCGCAGGAAGAGGAAGCGACGGCCGAAGAUCUCUGCGCCUCAGGACUUCCGGCA
ensembl:lncRNA